UACGGAGGGUGCAAGCGUUGUUCGGAAUCAUUGGGCGUAAAGCGCGUGUAGGCGGCUUGGCAAGUCGGUUGUGAAAGCCCGGGGCCCAACCCCGGAACUGCAUCUGAAACUGCCUGGCUAGAGUCCCGGAGAGGAAGGCAGAAUUCCCGGUGUAGGGGUGAAAUCCGUAGAUAUCGGGAGGAACACCGGUGGCGAAGGCGGCGACCUGGGUCGAGACUGACGCUGAGGCGCGAAAGCGUGGGGAGCAAACAGG
rnacentral:rRNA from 1 species